rnacentral:rRNA from 1 species
AUUCAAAAACAUCUCCUUUAGGAAAAAAUUUUAGGUAUGACCUGCCCACUGAAAUAUUUAAAGGGCCGCGGUAUUUUGACCGUGCAAAGGUAGCAUAAUCAUUAGUCUUUUAAUUGAGGGCUUGUAUGAAUGGUUUGACGAAGUAAAGACUGUCUCACUAUAAUUUAUAAAAUUUAACUUUUGAGUUAAAAGGCUCAAAUAAUAGUAGAGGACGAGAAGACCCUAUAGAUCUUAUAUAGUUUAUUUUAAUUAUUUAUUUAGAGGUAUUUAGUAUAUUUUAAAUAAAUUAUUUUAUUGGGGUGAUAUAAAGAUAAAAAUAACUCUUUUUAGUUUAUAACAUUAAUUUAUGAAUAAUUGAUCCAAUAUUAUUGAUCAAAAGAUUAAGUUACCUUAGGGAUAACAGCGUAAUUUUUUUUGAGAGUUCUUAUCAACAAAAAAGAUUGCGACCUCGAUGUUGGAUUAAGGAAUAUUAUUAGGUGUAGAAGUUUAAUUAAUAGUCUGUUCGACCUUUAAAUCCUUACAUGAUCUGAGUUCA